rnacentral:lncRNA from 1 species
AUGUCGCUGUGGGGCCCGGUCGCCUUGGAGGCGCGAGCUGGGGGCCAACGCUGCUGGGCCUGCGCCCGCUGCGGGCCGUGGUCGCUCCGGGAGACACGCGGGCGGAGGAGGGGCGCCCGGCCUGGGCUCCUGGGCCCUCUCGACCCCCGGCCUCCGCCCACCUCCCCGGGCCUCCCCCCGGGCUACCCGCGCUCCCCGGAUCUCCCUGGGCCUCCCCCCGCUCCCCGGAUCUCCCUGCGCUUUCCGGAUCUCUCUGGGUCUCCCUCCACUCCCCAGAUCUACCCCCGCUCCCCGGAUCUCCCCGGGCCUGCCCCACUCUCCGUUCCUCCCCCCCACCCCCCCGGUCCUCUCCCGCUCCCCGCCCUCCCCGCUCACCUCUCCCCUAGCCGGUGUGAGUCCCUGGCCCUUCGCGUCCCCGGGGCCCUGGCGCGGGCGGAGGCGGCGGGGUGUGUCCGCGGGGAAGCCGAGUGGCCCUCGCUAACCCCGGGGGAGUUGUGCGGGGCGUGGUCAGCAGUGGGGCCCGUGCGCCGGGUGCUUGCCGGCGAACGUGGUCCGGAAGGGACAGUGCUGGUCGGGCCGACGUGGGCGCUUCCCCCUCCCGUCCGCCCUGGCCGACAGGAAGCGCGCGGGGCCCCGGCCGCCCCUCCGCUCGGCGGUGGACAGGACUGGGGGGAGAAGGCCGGUGCAGCGCGGACUCCGGGGGCGGGCGGGAGCGCCGGGGAGUGGGGUGGUCUCUUCUCCUGCAGGCCCGAGGUGGGGCCGACGUGUGGCUCCGUAAGGCCUGAGGACCGCCGGUUGGCUUUCCGCCAAGUUCUCGUCUCCCCCACCUUGUUUGGGCCCCCCAGACGUGGCCGCGGGCCCCUCCACGCUGACCUGUUAGUUCCAGCUGCGGUCGUCCUUGUCUGCCCUGGUCCAGAACUUGCCUCGAGUCUGGGGCCGCUUGUCUCCAGCGUUCGCUGCCUGGUACUGGCUCUGUUGCCCCGGAUUCGGCCCAGAUUAGACUUUCCCCGAAGGAGGUGUUGGCCCGAGGUCAGCCUCUGCUGCUCCGUGUGGUCGCUGUCCUACGAGGGGCAGGUGCGCGGACCUGCCCAGCAUUACUCGUUGCCUGGCACGGUGACCCGCACGUAG